UGUAGAAAAACAUGAAUUGUAUCGACUCAUUUUUGUGCCCGGAUGACAUGUGAUGGUUGCUUUCACCGUUUUGAGAGUGGCAAUGUAACAUGGAAGUGUUUCAACAUGUAUGCCGUGAAGAGAUCUUUUGAUGUCUUUCCAACAAUUGUCAGCCGUUGUUUUGCAGUGUUACCACUCUAGUUUCUCAAAAAUGUUUUUUCCAAUUUCCAUUUCUCCUCUGCAUAACAUAACUAUGCCAUAAAGAUAGAAAGCAUUUUGAUACGAACCUUUAGUAGCCAAGUGAAGAUGAUAAAUUCCUUCAACAGUGUUUUUGUGAUGGAUAUAUUCUUGAAUGCCUUUUACAUAGUGAGCUUCUGGGUUGCCGGCUUGUAGACAUUUGCUCAUUAGAUCCGUGUAACUGGUCAGUGAGGUGAGUGGAUGUUCCGUCAGGAUUGAGAGCUGCAUAUUUUUGUAAACACGAUCAUGUAUUGCAGCUUUGGUCAUAACUGGAAUAGAGGUCAUGAUGGUACGGACUGUGUCCCUUGAAGCUUUUGUUAUUCUUCAAAGCCCAAUUUAAUUAUGUGUCCCUCUUCUUCCUCUCCAAGUCUCUGUUGCCAACGGAUGUAGGAUAUGUUAAUCUUCGCUCACAACAAUUUCUUCAAAACUUCUGAUUUAAACCUCAGCUUCUUUAAUGGCCAUCUCACGUAUCCUUCUAAGUGAUUUGAAAGUCGGCCGGUGCUCUAACAAAGUGGAGAUGCGUUUGCUCCGAUCCUGGGAAGCCCGUAAUGUGAAGAAAGGGGGAGAACUAAUGUGGAUCGAUUUACUCUUUGUCGACGAGAAGGUUAUGCCUGUUAAUCCUUUGCUCUAUAUAUCAUUUAUGUUUAUUUAAAAACGUUUGGAACAACUUCUGAUGAACUUCCUCUUCCAAUUUAGUCUACGCUUAUCCACGGCACUAUUAACUCUCACCGUUUGAAGAAGUACGGAGACCAGUUCUCUGAAGGUUCACUCUAUUAGAUGAGUGGGUUCGACGUAACAAGGAGUCCCAACAACUUCAAAAUCUCAGACUUCCCUCUUGCUAUCCGUUUCAACGAUCAUACUGUCUUUGAGCUGUUGACGGAUUCAGUUAACCCUAUACCUGAUGAAAUGUUUAGGUUCCGCACACAUGAGCAACUAUUAGCAUUGGCUAAUACGGGCACUCACCUCCCAGACCUUAUUGGAGAGUUAGCAUCAAUAAGAAGCACUUUUAAUGACAAUCUCCAAGGGAACCAUCGCGUAAUGGUAACACUCCAGAUGAAAGGGUAUUUUCAAAACCUCUGAACUGAGAUAUUGGCACAUCGUUUAUCAGUUAACAACUGUCUAUUUUGCAGGGAUCUCUCUAGCUGCCUAAGUUUAUCUGCCUAAGUUUUUUUGCCUAUGUUGUUUCAGAUUUAUUUUAUAAUUAAAACUCGUUUUCACAAAGUUCAAGUUAAU